AGAAGUUUAGGUUAAACCUUAGACCAAGAGCCUUCAAAGCUCUAAGUAAGCCCCUACAGACUUAACUUCUG
rnacentral:tRNA from 1 species